rnacentral:lncRNA from 1 species
CCUUUGCUUCCCCUCCCCUUCCUCCCUUUCUCUCGCCUUCUGGUCUUUCUUACUGUCAUUUUGGAAAAGAAAACGAUCAUGGCAGAACUAAGAGGCUACAGCUGGAGCCAGGAACUUAAGUCAGUCAUGAGACUACUUCUGGAAGGGUGAGCCACUGUCCCCUACUUCAAGCCACUUGUCAUACCUCUGAUCCACACCUAAGGACCACACCAAAGCAAGAAGGCUGAGCUUUGGUUUCGAAGGCCCCAGCCACAGAAGAGAAAAGUCACCUGACCCUCGAAAUAAAUUCCUGUCAAAGCACUU